rnacentral:rRNA from 1 species
AAUAUUGCGCAAUGGACGGAAUUCUGUCGCAGCGACGCCGCGUUAGCGAUGUAGGCCUUCGGGUCGUAAAGCUCUGUUCUUGGGGAAGAAGGUCUUCGGACUUGACGGUACCCAAGAAGUAAGCCCCGGCUAACUACGUGCUAGCAGCCGCGGUAAUACGUAGGGGGCGAGCGUUGUCCGGAAUUACUGAGCGUAAAGGGUGCGUAGGCGGCCCGUUAAGUCAGAUGUGAAAGGCCACGGCUUAACCGUGGGAUUGCAUUUGAAACUGGAGGGCUUGAGUGUCGGAGAGGGUAGUGGAAUUCCCAGUGUAGCGGUGAAAUGCGUAGAUAUUGGGAAGAACACCAGUGGCGAAGGCGACUACCUGGACGAUAACUGACGCUGAGGCACGAAAGCUAGGGGAGCAAAC